ACAGGCAUGACCAUCUCCCUCGGUGGCAAGAUUGGAGACUGCAGACUCCACAGCAUGAACGUCUCCCUCGGUGAUGAGAUUGGUGACUGCGGUUUGGCUCUGGGAAGAAAACCAGCACAGGGGAGGUGACAGGACAUGCCAUGCCAGAGGGACAGAUUAGCCAGAGGAACUGUAAGCACCUGGAGCCAGUAGUCUCUCCUGGAGGACGUCAGUGCUGAGAAGAGUCAACAAGAAACAGGGAUGCGGAACAGUGGCUCCAUUUGCUGCUGCUGGAUCCCAAGAUGCUGUUCUGUCACUGCGCUGACUCAAAAGGUCACAUCUUCAUGGGCAUGGUGCUGCCAGCUCAAACAGAUGCACAGGCUUCAGGAGAGAGGAACCCUUUUCUCCCUGCUUGAGAGCCCAGCCCCCUGAUUUUGACAUCACGAUGAAGUCUCCAAAGUUGGAACACACCAGGAUAAACAUCUGUAUAAACGGACACUCUAGUGGAGAAACUUGCCUACGAGGGAUAAUAGAGGAGAACAUGUGGUCUCAAGUCCCUCUGUAGCAGAGGAGGGGAGGAUUUAAACAAGGGUCUUCCCGCUCCUGAGGGCGUUAGCUCACCCAGAACUGAUGGGAACACUCCAUUGUUCGCGAUUCUCCACCCACAGCUGAAAGAGACUUGUUUGAUGCUCAGUUUGUGGAAGAAAUA